rnacentral:rRNA from 1 species
UACGGGGGGGAGCAAGCGUUGUUCGGAUUUACUGGGCGUAAAGGGCGCGUAGGCGGUCGUGACAAGUCACUUGUGAAAUCUCCGGGCUUAACUCGGAACGGUCAAGUGAUACUGUCGGACUAGAGUACAGAAGGGGGCAACUGGAAUUCUCGGUGUAGCGGUGAAAUGCGUAGAUAUCGGAAAGAACACCAACGGCGAAAGCACUCUGCUGGGCCGACACUGACACUGAGAGACGAAAGCUAGGGGGAGCGAAUGGG